GAGUUUGAUCGUGGCUCAGGAUGAACGCUGGCGGCGUGCCUAAUACAUGCAAGUCGAGCGAACGGACGAGAAGCUUGCUUCUCUGAUGUUAGCGGCGGACGGGUGAGUAACACGUGGAUAACCUACCUAUAAGACUGGGAUAACUUCGGGAAACCGGAGCUAAUACCGGAUAAUAUUUUGAACCGCAUGGUUCAAAAGUGAAAGACGGUCUUGCUGUCACUUAUAGAUGGAUCCGCGCUGCAUUAGCUAGUUGGUAAGGUAACGGCUUACCAAGGCAACGAUGCAUAGCCGACCUGAGAGGGUGAUCGGCCACACUGGAACUGAGACACGGUCCAGACUCCUACGGGAGGCAGCAGUAGGGAAUCUUCCGCAAUGGGCGAAAGCCUGACGGAGCAACGCCGCGUGAGUGAUGAAGGUCUUCGGAUCGUAAAACUCUGUUAUUAGGGAAGAACAUAUGUGUAAGUAACUGUGCACAUCUUGACGGUACCUAAUCAGAAAGCCACGGCUAA
rnacentral:rRNA from 1 species